rnacentral:rRNA from 1 species
UACGUAGGGUGCGAGCGUUGUCCGGAAUUACUGGGCGUAAAGAGCUCGUAGGUGGUUUGUCGCGUUGUUCGUGAAAACCGGGGGCUUAACCCUCGGCGUGCGGGCGAUACGGGCAGACUUGAGUACUGCAGGGGAGACUGGAAUUCCUGGUGUAGCGGUGAAAUGCGCAGAUAUCAGGAAGAACACCCGUGGCGAAGGCGGCUCUCUGGGACGGUACUGACGCUGAGACGCGAAAGCGUGGGGAGCGAACAGG